rnacentral:rRNA from 1 species
AUGAGGAUCUGAAGCUGGAACUGCCGGGGAAUAGGGCAACCCCGGACAGUUCAAGAGCUGGUGUGCCUGGUAAGCACACAUCGCCCAUCCAUCGUGUUCCUCUCAGAGACUAGGCAAAAUAAAGAGAGAGUUAGUAAUGUUAGGUGGAGGCUCGGCCUCAAAAGCUGUAUGCUGCACGAUGGAGUUGGAAAAGGGGCAGGCAUCGCCUUGUAUUGGGACGAGUCU